UGAAGUACAAGAAAUAUGGAGUAUAUGUUUGACUGGAAAGUGAAUCUGAAAGGAAUACUCUUUUGUAGGGAUGGAUUAAGGCACCUUCACUAGGACGAUGUCUUAGAAUAUUCUUAAAGCAUGAAAUAAGUGACGUUUGUCAUCUUCAGCUGACCUAAGUAAUGAAUGAGUGGGAAGAUCCUGAUCAAUCUCAUCUGCUGCGUCUGAAAACUAUUUGACUUAACCCUAAAGUGCCCGGCAUGACACUCCCUCAUGGGUUUCAGAAAAAGAAAAAAAAACCCUUCAGAAUCAUCCUAGUCCCCUCACUAUCAACCCCAGUAUUAUUAUUCUAGAAUGCAAAGUUUAAAUUCUUUUGAGAGAAAUUUCAGGAUAAGAAACAUACAACCACUAUGAAUCUGGAAAGUGAACUGUUUGGAGAGGGAGCCAUGAAAGUGCCUGCACAGAUCACAAACUGAAUCAGAAGAUCCAGAGUGGACUUUGGAAUGUGGUGAUUUGAACAGUGUAGUGUUGAAUGCAUUU
rnacentral:lncRNA from 1 species